CGAACGCUGGCGGCGUGCUUAACACAUGCAAGUCGAACGGAAAGGCCCUGCUUUUGUGGGGUGCUCGAGUGGCGAACGGGUGAGUAACACGUGAGUAACCUGCCCUUGACUUUGGGAUAACUUCAGGAAACUGGGGCUAAUACCGGAUAGGAGCUCCUGCUGCAUGGUGGGGGUUGGAAAGUUUCGGCGGUUGGGGAUGGACUCGCGGCUUAUCGGCUUGUUGGUGGGGUAGUGGCUUACCAAGGCUUUGACGGGUAGCCGGCCUGAGAGGGUGACCGGCCACAUUGGGACUGAGAUACGGCCCAGACUCCUACGGGAGGCAGCAGUGGGGAAUAUUGCACAAUGGGCGGAAGCCUGAUGCAGCAACGCCGCGUGCGGGAUGACGGCCUUCGGGUUGUAAACCGCUUUCGCCUGUGACGAAGCGUGAGUGACGGUAAUGGGUAAAGAAGCACCGGCUAACUACGUG
rnacentral:rRNA from 1 species